UACGAAGGGGGCUAGCGUUGCUCGGAAUCAUUGGGCGUAAAGCGCGUGUAGGCGGUCCGGUAAGUCCGCUGUGAAAGUCGGGGGCUCAACCCUCGAAUGCCGGUGGAUACUGUCGGGCUAGGAGUGCGGAAGAGGCGAGUGGAAUUCCUGGUGUAGCGGUGAAAUGCGCAGAUAUCAGGAGGAACACCAAUGGCGAAGGCAGCUCGCUGGGACGGUACUGACGCUGAGACGCGAAAGCGUGGGGAGCAAACAGG
rnacentral:rRNA from 1 species